GACGAACGCUGGCGGCGUGCCUAAUACAUGCAAGUAGAACGCUGACUACUUUAGCUUGCUAGAGUAGAAGGAGUUGCGAACGGGUGAGUAACGCGUAGGUAACCUGCCUACUAGCGGGGGAUAACUAUUGGAAACGAUAGCUAAUACCGCAUAACAGUGUUUAACACAUGUUAGAUGCUUGAAAGAUGCAAUUGCAUCACUAGUAGAUGGACCUGCGUUGUAUUAGCUAGUUGGUAAGGUAACGGCUUACCAAGGCGACGAUGCAUAGCCGAGUUGAGAGACUGAUCGGCCACAUUGGGACUGAGACACGGCCCAA
rnacentral:rRNA from 1 species